UCCAGCAGCCAUAUCACUCUGCAACUCACAACUGGCAACCCACUGAAGCUAAGCAGGUGUGAGCCUGGUCAGUACCUGGAUGGGAGACCUCCUGGGAAAAACUAAGGUUGCUGCUGGAA
ensembl:rRNA 5S_rRNA 5S ribosomal RNA